UACGUAGGUGGCAAGCGUUGUCCGGAUUUAUUGGGUUUAAAGGGUGCGUAGGCGGUUUGGCAAGUCGGGUGUGAAAACUCCGGGCUCAACUCGGAGACGCCACUCGAUACUGCCAUGACUUGAGUCCGGUAGGGGAGUGCGGAAUUCCUGGUGUAGCGGUGAAAUGCGCAGAUAUCAGGAAGAACACCCGUGGCGAAGGCGGCUCUCUGGGACGGUACUGACGCUGAGACGCGAAAGCGUGGGGAGCGAACAGG
rnacentral:rRNA from 1 species